rnacentral:rRNA from 1 species
CAAAAUCUCAACUUUAUUAGAAGAGACGCAUUUAUUAGAUAAAAAGCCAAUGCAUGCUUUUACAGUAUGAAAAUUGGUGUUUUAUAAUAACUAAGCAAAUCGCAGAGUGAAAACAGGCGAUAAAUCAUUCAAGUUUCUGACCUAUCAGCUUUUGACGGUAUGGUAUUGGCUUACCGUGGCAGUGACGGUUAACGGGGAACUAGGGUUUGAUUCCGGAGAGGGAGCCUGAGAAACGGCUACCACAUCUAAGGGAGGCAGCAGGCGCGCAAAUUACCCAAUUCUAACAGUUUGAGAGAGGUAGUAACAAGAAAUAACAAUACAGAGCAAUUAAAAUGCUUUGAAAUUGCAAUGAUAGAAAUUUAAACCCUUUUUAAAGUAUCAAUUGGAGGGCAAGACUGGUGCCAGCAGCCGCGGUAAUACCAGCUCCAAUAGCGUAUAUUAAAAUUGUUGCAGUUAAAAAGCUCGUAGUUGAUGGUCUGUUAAAAGUAACCGGUCUGCUUUUAAUAAAAGUGGUAUCUUGGUGUGUAUUUAGCAAUGAUGUCCUUUGAAGUGUUUUUUAUUUAAUUGUAAUAAAGCAUAUUCAGGACUUUUACUUUGAGAAAAUUAGAGUGUUUCUAGCAGGCCGACGCUUUGAAUACUGCAGCAUGGAAAU